rnacentral:tRNA from 2 species
GAGACCUUAGCUUAAUUAAAGCCUUUGCGUUGCAAGCAAAAGAUGUCGAUUAAAACUCUGCAGGUUUUA